rnacentral:rRNA from 1 species
GAUGAACGCUGGCGGCGUGCCUAAUACAUGCAAGUCGAGCGAACGGACGAGAAGCUUGCUUCUCUGAUGCUAGCGGCGGACGGGUGAGUAACACGUGGAUAACCUACCUAUAAGACUGGGAUAACUUCGGGAAACCGUAGCUAAUACCGGAUAAUAUUUUGAACCGCAUGGUUCAAAAGUGAAAGACGGUCUUGCUGUCACUUAUAGAUGGAUCCGCGCUGCAUUAGCUAGUUGGUAAGGUAACGGCUUACCAAGGCAACGAUGCAUAGCCGACCUGAGAGGGUGAUCGGCCACACUGGAACUGAGACACGGUCCAGACUCCUACGGGAGGCAGCAGUAGGGAAUCUUCCGCAAUGGGCGAAAGCCUGACGGAGCAACGCCGCGUGAGUGAUGAAGGUCUGCGGAUCGUAAAACUCUGUUAUUAGGGAAGAACAUAUGUGUAAGUAACUGUGCACAUCUUGACGGUACCUAAGCAGAAAGCCACGGCUAACUACGU